CCUUUCGGCAGGGACGAAGCGAAAGUGACGGUACCUGCAGAAGAAGCGCCGGCUAACUACGUGCCAGCAGCCGCGGUAACACGUAGGGCGCAAGCGUUGUCCGGAAUCAUUGGGCGUAAAGAGCUCGUAGGCGGUCUGUUGCGUCCGCUGUGAAAACUCGGGGCUUAACCCCGAGCUUGCAGUGGAUACGGGCAGACUAGAGGUAGGUAGGGGAGAAUGGAAUUCCCGGUGUAGCGGUGAAAUGCGCAGAUAUCGGGAGGAACACCGGUGGCGAAGGCGGUUCUCUGGGCCUUACCUGACGCUGAGGAGCGAAAGCGUGGGGAGCGAACAGGAUUAGAUACCCUGGUAGUCCACGCCGUAAACGUUGGGCGCUAGGUGUGGGGUCCUUCCACGGACUCCGUGCCGCAGCUAACGCAUUGAGCGCCCCGCCUGGGGAGUACGGC
rnacentral:rRNA from 1 species